rnacentral:rRNA from 1 species
GACGAACGCUGGCGGCGUGCUUAACACAUGCAAGUUGAACGGAGGUUUUGUUUUCGGAUAAAGCCUUAGUAGCGGACGGGUGAGUAACGCGUGAGCAACCUGCCUUUGUGAGGGGACAACAGCUGGAAACGGCUGCUAAUACCGCAUGAGACCACGAUCCCGCAUGGGGAUGGGUAAAAGAGGAACUCGCACAGAGAUGGGCUCGCGUCCCAUUAGCUAGUUGGUGAGGUAACGGCUCACCAAGGCGACGAUGGGUAGCCGACCUGAGAGGGUGAUCGGCCACACUGGAACUGAGACACGGUCCAGACUCCUACGGGAGGCAGCAGUGGGGAAUAUUGGGCAAUGGGCGAAAGCCUGACCCAGCAACGCCGCGUGAGGGAAGAAGGUCUUCGGAUUGUAAACCUCUGUCCUUGGGGACGAAGGAAGUGACGGUACCCAAGGAGGAAGCUCCGGCUAACUACGUG